CCUCCAUCAUAGUGUCAUCCCACCAUUUUCAUGAUUACUUGUCAACAAUGAAGCAAGGUGAAUUGGAGAAACUGCGAGAGAUGGUGACACAAUGAUCACCAAUGCAGCAAGGCUGCAUAUAUUGGUGAGAACAUGGCUAGCAUAUAUCGGUUUCAGAGUUUCAAAGGAUGAAGCUGUGAGAAGCAAAUGUUGGGCAUAAAUGGCAAGUACAUGCAAGUGUUGUUCAGUGUAUAGGCCACAUGGUCGUCGAGUGUGUACAAAUGGCAAGUAUAGUU